rnacentral:rRNA from 1 species
GAUGAACGCUGGCGGCGUGCCUAAUACAUGCAAGUCGAGCGAACGGACGAGAAGCUUGCUUCUCUGCUGUUAGCGGCGGACGGGUGAGUAACACGUGGAUAACCUACCUCUAAGACUUGGAUAACUUCGUGAAACCGGAGCUACUACCGGAUAAUAUUUUGAACCGCAUGGUUCAAAAGUGAAAGACGGUCUUGCUGUCACUUAUAGAUGGAUCCGCGCUGCAUUAGCUAGUUGGUAAGGUAACGGCUUACCAAGGCAACGAUGCAUAGCCGACCUGAGAGGAUGAUCGGCCACACUGGAACUGAGACACGGUCCAGACUCCUACGGGAGGCAGCAGUAGGGAAUCUUCCGCAAUGGGCGAAAGCCUGACGGAGCAACGCCGCGUGAGUGAUGAAGGUCUUCGGAUCGUAAAACUCUGUUAUUAGGGAAGAACAUAUGUGUAAGUAACUGUGCACAUCUUGACGGUACCUAAUCAGAAAGCCACGGCUAACUACGUG